rnacentral:lncRNA from 1 species
GGUGUGUUGCGCAAGUCCCCCAGGAUACAACAGGAACUUCUCGAAAUGUAUUCGAGGAUUACAAAACUAGCAAGAAACUCUAUAAAGAGUUUAUACCCAGGACAGUUUUAGAAGAGAGGAAGAGAAAAGAAUGAAAAAUUGAUGAUUUGGAAUGGGGGAAGAACUCUCUAUUUAUAAAGCUAGGAAAGAAUAAAAUAAAUAAAAGAAAUUAAAACCAAUAAAUAAUUUGACUGUUGCAACACUUAAAAUUUGGCUGUUGGAAUAUUACCGUUGGAGCACAUUAUUGGUAAUUAAAGUUUUGAAAGUUGUAAUCCAACGUUUUCUUUUGCAAUAAUAUAAUCAUUAUUACAACAAUCCCCCACUUAUUGCAAAAGAAAAUUGAGAGAAAAGAAGAAAAACUUUUAUCCUGGGUCUCAUAGGAUGUAAUGCAUCAAAGUUGGUAUAGCAAGCUAUAUGAACUAGUCUUAGAUCAAUAAACUUAACGCACAACGUAGUUGGUAUAGCAAGCUAUAUGAACCAAAGACACUUGACGUGUGUUAGAGGUUUAUCAAUCACAAUACACCCCCAC